UGAUUUUCUUAUCUCUCCGUGUGCGGGC
rnacentral:sRNA from 1 species